UUCCUCCUGGGGGGAUCCGCCGCUCCCCUCCGGCUCUGUGGCCCAUCCACCGCCACCACGCUCCUGCCUGAAGACACGCCCUGGGGGAGAGAGACCACCACCUUCUCCUCCUCUAGGGUCGUGUCUUGUGGUGCGAGGCCUCCACCCACGGCCUGAUCCUCCGGUGCCGGGCAGCAGUGGUAGAAGGGUCCCACCGAAUACACCCUUUGCGCUGCUGGAGUCCUUCCACUAGGUCUCUCCGACUCUCCCUGCCAUGGUGAAGGCGCCUGGCCCAAGAAUGAAGCCUCAUCGGCUGAUGAUUGAAGUUCCAUUGCUCCCAUGAAGGAACACCUGCCGUUUCACUGGAUUGGAACUGGAAAUGUAUCCAAGGGACUUGGAAAUUGACCUGGUCUCUCCCAAGAGACUCUCCAGUAAGAUCUCCAGUGACUGUCUGGCAGAAGACCCGAUUGCUGCUGGAAGGUGGGACAGACUAUGGGUGGCCCCCGCCCACAAAGCAAUGGGACAGAUCAGACUGUGGAUCUUCCCAAGGCUCUGAGUGUUGUGAUUCUAGCAUUUAGUUCUGAGGGUCCUUAAUGGCACCGUUUGUGAAGAAAAAUCCUAAGAAACUGUGGCUCACAUCAGGACAAGAAGAGGAAAGACGUAGCACAGCCUCCAGACAAUGGUCGGAUAUUGGAGGAGGAUCAGGAUCAGGCAGCUGCUGUUCCCAAGGGCGUAAGGCUGGGGGCUCCGGCCAUGAAUGGCAGGCAAGAAGUUGUAUUCCAAGAGACCUAAGGAGGCGCUCCAGAGGUCCGUCUGGUGGCAUGUUGGGUGGUGCCCUUCCACUGCUUCUUCCUUUCCUCUCAAGAGGGCACGUAUGGCUUGUAGCCAAAACAAGAGCAGUCUGGAUGGUGGUGUUGGAAUGGUGGGGCUUCCAUCAUUCCCACCUCUCCCCCAAGGGGGCACCACCAGAAGAUCAACUAAUUGGCGUAGGCCUCGCUCCGUAAGCCACAGCCCUAGGGAAGGAGCAGCUGGUUGCUGUUCCCAAGGGCGUAAAGCUGGGGUCUUCUUGCGGCUGGCAAGAAGUUGAACACUGCUCUGUUCUGAGAGACCUAAGGGAGGCACUCCAGCGGUCUGCAUGAUGGUGUGUUGGGUGGUGCCCUUCCACUGCUGCAGCAGCAUUUUCCCCCGGAGUCACCCCUAGAGGAUCAGCUUGUCUACUUAUGGCUUGGACCCGAAGCAGCAGCAAAUGGGAAGAAUCAAAUGGCUGCUGUUCCUAAGCAGUUGGCUUUGGGGGCAAUAUGGUAGCCAUGGUUUGGCCACAGAGUUGGAGGCUAGUGGUGCAUUUCCCCAGGAGGAAGGGGGAUUUCCCCAUGACUCUGGCUUGGGAGUUGCCGGCGCUGGGAUUAUGAACAGUGGCAGUGGGAUGGAGCCUCUGCUGAGUAUAUGGGGGCUGCCAUGAAGAGGGCAAUGACUCUGGCAGAGGUUUUCCCAUUGGGGUCGCCAGCAGAAGAUCAGCUGGUCCGCCUAGGCCUUGCACCAGAAGCCACGGCCCUAGACAAGGAGCAGGGGGUGGUGUCUCCUCAAGGGUGUGGCUUUGGGUGGCAGCAGGGUGGUGGUGGUCGGUCCACUGAGCCAGAGGGGAGCAGUGGAUUCCCCCUGGAGGAAGGGUCUGGCUUUUCCUUGAAGAGCCCCAGACCUUUGAUGGUCAUCUCUGGCAGUGGAGUGAGCCUGUACUGAAUCUCUGGUGGUUGCCAGGAAGAUGGAAGUGGCUUCACUUAGGGAUUGGCCCAUUGGGGUCAGGGUUGUAUUCUUUGGGUUGUUAUUUUAAGUACUCCAUGGAAGAACCAUCUCUCUGGUCAUGCCAGUAUUUCCUGAUGGAGAGGGGCAUAAGGCAAAGGAAAAGUUCCUGUGGUGGAGGCAUAAGUCAAAGUUCCUCCCGGGGAUGGGCUGCAAUAAUUUGGCCCUCUCCACUGCAGCCUCAAGGUUCCUUCUGUGGAGUCUCCUUAGGAAGGGGUUUCCCUCCAGAAGGCACGCUCCCACCUGGUGCUUUGGCCACUCGCCGAGCAGCCUUGAUCUUCCCUGGGAGGGCUGGUGGGCUGCCCUCCCGAGGUGGCUUCCUCUCGGUGCUGGCUUCUGGCUGGGGCGGCCUCUCAUCUUUUGGGAGUCCUCACCCAUUCUGCUGAUGGUCCAGCCACAGACUGCUGGAGGUGAUGGACUUGGUUCCACCAGAUCUCUCCUCCAAUGCUCCUGAAAAGAAAAGAAAUGGUUUGGGUUUGGUUUUAAUUUCUGGGUCUGGCUCUGUCUUGGGAGGCCCAGAAACUGGAUGGUCAGCUCUGGCAAGGGGUCGAACCUCUGCUGAACUGAUGGCAGUUGCCAAGAUCAUCGGGGUCAGGGUCUCCUUCCUCUGGAUGGCAUUGGAAGAUGCCUGGAGGAGGAACUGUCUCCCUGGACAGGCAGAAGGAUGGUCCUGCCCCAGUGGGAAGAAGACCCACCCAGGCUCUUGCAGGUCCAGGUUCCUCCUGGGUAUGGGCUCUAAUAUCUUAGUGUGAUCCACCGCAGCCUCCAGCUUCCUUCUCUGGAGUCUCCUUACGCCCAGGUGGGGAAGGGGUUUCCCUCCAGAAGGCCCACUCCCAUCUGGUGCUUUGGCCACACACUGAGCAGCCUUGAUCUUCCCUGGGAGGGCUGGUGGGCUGCGUUCCCGAGGUGGCUUCCCCUUGGUGCUGGUUUCUGGCUGGGGCGGCCCCUCUGAUCUCUUGGGAGUCCUCACCCUUUCCACUGAUGGUCCAGCCACAGGGCUGGGCCAUCAAGGGCAAGGCUGGAUUCCUGUGACACCUGGCUGGUACUGGCCCCAGGCACCAGGGAAGCAGCAGCAGCAGCAUCCGGACCACCAUGUGGCUGCUGGAGGUGAUGGCCUUCCUUCCACCAGAUCUCCCCUUCUGAAAAGAAAGGACAUGUCUGGGUCUGGCUCUGCCUUGGGAGGCCCCCGCGUCUGGAUGGUCAGCUCUGGCAAGGGGUCGAGCCUCUGCUGAGCUGAUGGCAGUUGCCAAGAUCAUCGGGGUCAGGGUCUUCUUCCUCGGGAUGGUAUUUGAAGAGGACUGGAGAGGAACUUUCUCCCUGGAAGGAUGGUCCUGCCCCUGUGGGAAGAAGCCCCACCCAGGCUUCCUAACAUGUGAUAUACCUGGAUUAAGUUAGCAGGGUGGGGCGGGGUCAGAGUUCUAAUCUUUGGACCUUGCUAUGCCUGUGGCACCGUUGCUGAACUCUCUUUGCUACUCCUCUUAGCUGUACAGAGGCAGUUCCGUGCCCCCUUGAUCCCCUUCCCCAGCCAUGACCCAUUCAAACUUGCCUGGCUUCAAAGCCUUGCAAAUAAAUGGAGAGGACAUUUUCCUAGCUGCCAAGAUGAAGGAGAACUGGUCCAAAUGGCGAUCAAAGUUGAGGUGCUUCCUGGCAACUUGACCAAAUGUCAAUCACGUUCUGGAAGCUUCAGAGGGAAGCUAAUCUGCUUCACUCAUCAUAACUGAUUGCCACCCGCCAUGAGAUGUGGCUGUCCGUUGCGGUCAGGGUCUCCUUCCUCUGGAUGGCUGUUGAAGAAGCCUGGGGAGGAGCCGACUCCCUGGACAGGCCAGGAGGACGGUCCUGCCCCAUUGGGAAGAAGUCCCGCCCAGGCUCCCUGAGGUCCAGGUUCCUCCUGGGGAUGGGCUCUAAUAUCCUGGCGCGAUCCACCGCAGCCUCCAGCCUCCUUCUGUGGAGUCUCCCCUCCCCCAGGCAGGGAAGGGGAGACUCAUGAAGAUGGCAUGAAGAAAGGAAUGUUAUUUCUAGCGGUUUCUCAGCUUUAUAUGCUGACAAAAUUCACAUCUCCAGGAAGUUUACGUUAUAAAAGAAAUCUCUAGGUGGUUUACAUAACCGCUUUGCAUUUACUUGGACAAAAGCAAGCCUCAGAAUUUCAGAACUGCAAAUAUUAAGUAUGUUAACCAUGAAAGAUGGGAGGGGGGGGAGAGACACAGCUUGUGGCUGCCCAGGACUAGCUCUUCUUGGGAAUAGCUUGGCCCUCAAGCAAAGAGGUGGGUUCCUGUGAGGCCUGCUUGUUACUGGCCCCAGGCGCCAGGGGAGGCAGCAGCAGCAGCCUCUGGACCACCAUGUAUGUGGUUGCUCGAGGUGAUGUGCCAGAUCUUCUGCCUGAUCUCUCUUCCUCUGCUCCUGAUAAGAAAAAUAAGUUUUUAUUUUUCACACCUGUAUAUGCUGCCAAAAUUCACAUUGCAACGUGGUUUACUUUUCCUCUUUGAAUUUGUUUGGACAAAAGCAAGUCUGGGAAUGGCAUUCAAACGCAGGAAAGUAGACAGCGAGAUGGUUUUGUGUUGAAGUGGGGUCUUUUUAUUAAGUUCAUUAAUUUCUAGAUUAAGAACAAAUAAUAUGCAAGCUUUUCUUCCAUAUGUUGUCAUUCUGGUGUAGGACUGUAUUUUCCCCCUCCCCCCACCUUGGCUAAUGAAAUAUAUUAUGUCUGGGUCUGAUGUCAAUUACAACAGGCUGGUCAAUGUAUUAUGUGUGUUUGUAGAGAAAGGUGGUAUUUUUGUUUUUAAAAGUAAGUUAAUAUGUAUGUAUUUACAUUCAACAUGUUUGCAUUGCCUUUCUUAAACAGAUAACAAAGCACAUAAAUAUAAGAAUACUUAAAAUAAUAACAAAGAAGUUCAUUAAACACACUACACUUUUAAAAGGCAAAAAAAUCAGUGUAGAAAACCAGCAAGAGUCAAAAAUGAAAUUUCAUAAAUCCUUUUCAUAGAACAGAACUACCUUUGCUCCUCCAGUGCAAUGCAAUCUAUGCCUACGCCUUGGCUCGUGAGUUACCCAGGAGGGUAUUCUGAAAUAGAAGAAUGGGAUUAUCUCGGAAAUCUCACACUUGCCACCCCACUCGUUUCUGCAUAAAAUGGGGCUUCUUGUAUUUUUCUGGCUGAACUUUUCUCCAUUAAUUCUCCAUUGUAUGAAAAGGUUGUCCCCUUUCUCACCAUAUGCAACGGAGGUGACAUUUUUCUCAACUAGAAAUGUCCCCCUUUUCAGGUCAAUGAACCCUGCAAAAGCAGCUUUGCUUUCUAAAUUUCACUGUAGAAAAUUGUGACUGUAAGCAGCUUGGGAAGUUGGGAGCAGAGGCUUUUCUUUUUUUGCUCUAACUUACUAUUUACCAUUAAAAAAUAAAAUAAAAUCUG